CCUACGGGAGGCAGCAGUGAGGAAUAUUGGUCAAUGGACGCAAGUCUGAACCAGCCAUGCCGCGUGCAGGAAGACGGCUCUAUGAGUUGUAAACUGCUUUUGUACGAGGGUAAACGCAGAUACGCGUAUCUGUCUGAAAGUAUCGUACGAAUAAGGAUCGGCUAACUCCGUGCCAGCAGCCGCGGUAAUACGGAGGAUUCAAGCGUUAUCCGGAUUUAUUGGGUUUAAAGGGUGCGUAGGCGGUCGGAUAAGUUAGAGGUGAAAGCCCGAGGCCCAACUUCGGAAUUGCUUCUGAUACUGUUCGGCUAGAGAGUAGUUGCGGUAGGCGGAAUGUAUGGUGUAGCGGUGAAAUGCUUAGAGAUCAGACAGAACACCGAUGGCGAAGGCAGCUUACCAAGCUACGUCUGACGUUGAGGCACGAAAGCGUGGGGAGCAAACAGGAUUAGAUACCCGGGUAGUC
rnacentral:rRNA from 1 species